rnacentral:rRNA from 1 species
UCAAAGAUUUAACCAUGCAAGUGAAAGUAUAUAUAUAUUUUAUAUGUAGAAACUGCGAACGGCUCAUUAAAACAGUUAUAGUCUACUUGACAUUUUUAUUAUAAGGAUAACUACGGAAAAGCUGUAGCUAAUACUUGCUUUAUUAUCCUUUGAUUUUUAUCUUUGGAUAAGUAUUUGUUAAGCCUUAUAAGAAAAAAGUUAUUAACUUAAGGAAUUAUAACAAGGAAGUAACACGUAAUAAAUUUAUUUUAUUUAGUGUGUAUCAAUCGAGUUUCUGACCUAUCAGCUUUUGAUGUUAGGGUAUUGGCCUAACAUGGCUAUGACGGGUAACGGGGAAUUAGAGUUCGAUUCCGGAGAGGGAGCCUGAGAAAUAGCUACCACAUCUAAGGAAGGCAGCAGGCGCGUAAAUUACCCAAUUCUAAAGAAGAGAGGUAGUGACAAGAAAUAACAAUGCAAGGCCAAUUUUUGGUUUUGUAAUUGGAAUGGUGGGAAUUUAAAACCUUCCCAGAGUAACAAUUGGAGGGCAAGUCUGGUGCCAGCAGCCGCGGUAAUUCCAGCUCCAAUAGCGUAUAUUAAAAUUGUUGCAGUUAAAACGCUCGUAGUUGAAUUUCAAAGAAUCGAUAUUUUAUUGUAACUAUUCUAGGGGAACUAUUUUAGCUUUUCGCUUUAAUACGCUUCCUCUAUUAUUAUGUUCUUUAAAUAACAAAGAUUCUUUUUAAAAUCCCCACUUUGCUUUUGCUUUUUGGGGAUUUUGUUACUUUGAGUAAAUUAGAGUGUUCAAAGCAAACAGUUAAAGCAUUUACUGUGUUUGAAUACUAUAGCAUGGAAUAACAAAAUUGAACAAGCUAAAAUUUUUUGUUCUUUUUUCUUAUUUUGGCUUAGUUACGAUUAAUAGGAGUAGCUUGGGGACAUUCGUAUUCAGAUGUCAGAGGUGAAAUUCUUAGAUUUUCUGGAGACGAACAACUGCGAAAGCAUUUGUCUAAAAUACUUCCAUUAAUCAAGAACGAAAGUUAAGGGAGUGAAGACGAUCAGAUACCGUCGUAAUCUUAACCAUAAACUAUGCCGACUAGGUGUUGGAUGAAAGUGUUAAAAAUAAAAGUCAUCUUUCGAGGUGACUUUUAGAUUGCUUCCUUCAGUACCUUAUGAGAAAUCAAAGUCUUUGGGUUCUGGGGCGAGUAUUCGCGCAAGCGAGAAAGUUAAAAGAAUUGACGGAAGGGCACCACCAGGCGUGGAGCUUGCGGCUUAAUUUGACUCAACACGGGGAAACUCACUAGUUUAAGACAAGAGUAGGAUUGACAGAUUAAUAGCUCUUUCUUGAUUUCUUGGAUGGUGAUGCAUGGCCGUUUUUAGUUCGUGAAUAUGAUUUGUCUGGUUAAUUCCGAUAACGAACGAGAUCUUAACCUGCUAAUUAGCGGCGAGUACACUAUAUUCUUAUUUGAAAUUGAACAUAGGUAACUAUACAUUUAUUCAGUAAUCAAAUUAGGAUAUUUUUAUUAAAAUAUCCUUUUCCCUGUUCUACUAAUAAUUUGUUUUUUACUCUAUUUCUCUCUUCUUUUAAGAAUGUACUUGCUUGAUUGAAAAGCUUCUUAGAGGAACAUUGUGUGUCUAACACAAGGAAGUUUAAGGCA